UACGUAGGGUCCAAGCGUUAUCCGGAAUCACUGGGCGUAAAGCGUGCGUAGGCGGCGUGUUAAGUGAGAUGUUAAAUCGUGUGGCUCGACCAUAUCGAUGCAUCUCAUACUGGCAUGCUAGAGGAAGGCAGAGGCAAGUGGAAUUGGUAGUGUAGCAGUGAAAUGCGUAGAUAUUACCAGGAACACCAAUGGCGAAGGCAGCUUGCUGGGCCUUUUCUGACGCUGAGGUACGAAAGCGUGGGGAGCGAACAGG
rnacentral:rRNA from 1 species